AGCCCUAUAGUGUAAUUGGUAACACACCGGAUUUUGAUUCCGCAUUUCCAGGUUCGAUUCCUGGUAGGGCUA
rnacentral:tRNA from 1 species